rnacentral:rRNA from 1 species
GACGAACCGUGCAAACGUUGUUCGGAUUCACUGGGCUUAAAGGGCGCGUAGGCGGGCGGUCAAGUCCGGGGUGAAAUCUUUCAGCUCAACUGGAAAAGUGCCCUGGAUACUGAUCGUCUCGAGGGAGGCAGGGGCAUGUGGAACUUCCGGUGGAGCGGUGAAAUGCGUAGAUAUCGGAAGGAAGACCAGUGGCGAAGGCGGGUCUCUGGACAGUUCCUGACGCUGAGGCACGAAGGCCAGGGGAGCAAACGGG